AUUGAACGCUGGCGGCAGGCCUAACACAUGCAAGUCGAGCGGAUGAAGGGAGCUUGCUCCUGGAUUCAGCGGCGGACGGGUGAGUAAUGCCUAGGAAUCUGCCUGGUAGUGGGGGAUAACGUCCGGAAACGGGCGCUAAUACCGCAUACGUCCUGAGGGAGAAAGUGGGGGAUCUUCGGACCGCUCCCGCGGAUGGGAGCGUAGUUGGGGUUAGCUAGUUGGUGGGGUAAGGACCUACCAAGGCGAGGAUCGGUAACUGGCCGGAGAGGAUGAUCAGGCACACUGGAACUGAGACACGGUCCAGACUCCUACGGGAGGCAGCAGUGGGGAAUAUUGGACAAUGGGCGAAAGCCUGAUCCAGCCAUGCCGCGUGUGUGAAGAAGGUCUUCGGAUUGUAAAGCACUUUAAGUUGGGAGGAAGGGCAGUAAGUUAAUACCUUGCUGUUUUGACGUUACCAACAGAAUAAGCACCGGCUAACUUCGUG
rnacentral:rRNA from 1 species